UACGGGGGGGGCAAGCGUUGUUCGGAAUUACUGGGCGUAAAGGGCUCGUAGGCGGCCAACUAAGUCGGACGUGAAAUCCCCAGGCUCAACCUGGGAACUGCGUCCGAUACUGGAUGGCUUGAAUCCGGGAGAGGGAUGCAGAAUUCCAGGUGUAGCGGUGAAAUGCGUAGAUAUCUGGAGGAGCACCGGUGGCGAAGGCGGCGUUCUGGACUGCAACUGACACUGAGGAACGAAAGCCAGGGGAGCAAACGGG
rnacentral:rRNA from 1 species